rnacentral:lncRNA from 1 species
CCCCGCCCUCCGUCCCUGGUGGCUGCCGGGCUCGGGGUCCGCACAGACCGCGCUGGAAAGGGAUAGUCCGGGAAGAUGCGCGUCCCACGCACCACACUGCUUGGAGGUGGAGGAGACCCGCGCGCUGGCAGGAGCUGACGCUGCGUCCCCAGCUUGUCCCCCUCGAAUAGCCUCCACCUACCGGGGCCAACUGCUUGAGGUCAGCCAGUGGGCAGGGGAGCUCACCACCAGCCAGCCGUCAUCCAGCCAAGUCGGUGGCGAGAAUCCACCCUGUGGUUCUGGAUGCAAGCCAGACACACCUCCAGGCUUAGGGCGGUCUCUGCAGGCGUGUUGGACUUCAGUGCGCUCCGACACCCAGCUUUUGAAUGCCCUGCUCCCAGCCCGGUAAACAAGCACCCAUGAGGCCCGCCGCCCGACCGGAAAAAAGUAGUCCCCUGCAACUCUCAAAGCUUCUCCCACUCCCGCUUCUCUGGGCGACUGGCACCCCCUCUCCUGUCCUCAAGGUGUCAGACUUCCCUUGCAAGAGCUGGAGGAUGCGGCUUGCCACUAGUGUCAACAAUCAAAACAGUCGCAAUGAAUAAAUGAUGAGCCACAGCGUUCCAACCACCCUCAUCCAGCUUGGUCUUUCCAAAAGGCAUAGGAAAUCAGCAAGUUUCCACCAAAUAUACCAAAACCCUAAGACGCGAGCCAGCCCAAGGGUGCAAGGUUCUGCGGCUGCAGGUGCCUAUGAAACUG